rnacentral:rRNA from 1 species
CCUACGGGAGGCUGCAGUGAGGAAUAUUGGUCAAUGGGCUUACGCCUGAACCAGCCAAGUCGCGUGAGGGAAGACUGCCCUAUGGGUUGUAAACCUCUUUUGUCAGGGAGCUAUUGGCGCUACGUGUAGCGUUAUCGAGAGUACCUGAAGAAAAAGCAUCGGCUAACUACGUGCCAGCAGCCGCGGUAAUACGGAGGAUGCGAGCGUUAUCCGGAUUUAUUGGGUUUAAAGGGUGCGUAGGCGGAAUGCCAAGUCAGCGGUAAAAGCGCGGGGCUCAACCGCGCUCCGCCGUUGAAACUGGCGUUCUUGAGUGGGCGAGAAGUAUGUGGAAUGCGUGGUGUAGCGGUGAAAUGCAUAGAUAUCACGCAGAACUCCGAUUGCGAAGGCAGCACACCGGCGCCCAACUGACGCUGAAGCACGAAAGCGUGGGUAGCGAACAGGAUUAGAUACCCCUGUAGUC